rnacentral:lncRNA from 1 species
UCUAGUUUCGGAUACCUUUUUGGUAAAAAAAUCUAUUAUCUUGGAUAGAUUUUUGGCUAAACAAAAUCGGUCCGAAGAGUCCUUAUCCUCUCCUAUAAAGGAGAGGUCUUUCCACACACUCUACACCUUUUUACACACUUUAAAAGAGACACAUAUCUUUGAGAAAAAAUCAGCAACUGAAUACUUAUAAGUAAGCUGAAAUUUCAGAGCUUUGUGAGUAUUUUCGAGUGUAAAAUCUUUCACAAAAAUAUAAAGAUUUUUUGGGUAAUUUGUGGAAUCACUAGCUUCUAGUUUCAAGUGUCUUUGCUGGAUGUUUUCUGAGUCAUUUUCUUGGAUUACAAGCUGUUGUUUGCUGCUAUCAUUGUUGCUGAAAUUUUAGCCCCUCGAUUGCUGAUACUUUUUCUUUCUGCUAUCCAGGUAACCUUCUUAAAUGCUGUUGUAAUUUUGGUCAAGAAUGAAUGGAAAUGAAGCAGACUUAAAGUGUUCUUCAGCUUCUUUUGAGCUUUAAAACUGUUUGUAUAGGACUUUGUAUGUAAGCAUGUGUAAUGAAUGUUGAACUUCUUGUUUCAUUUUGGUUGACACCGUGCUUUAAACAUUUUGGCUCAUAGCUCACUGUCACUUUUUCCCCCUCUUUUUGUUUGUUUGUUUGUGAAAAAUCACCAAAUAACAUUUCUUUUCAUGGUUAAGGUGCUUCAUCUUUGUAAAGUAUUGAUGGAAACUAAUGAUCACCAUUUUCUUACUAACGUGUUUGAUAUUCAAAAUAAUUGAAAGUGGUUUCAUGUAAGCCAAGUGGAAAGCAACAGUGAUGCAUUAGAAUGGUUUUAAGAUUCUGUUUGGUCAAUAUAUAUAUGUUCGUUGCAGUGUAUACUUAAAGCUGGAGAAUUAUCUCAUGUUUUAGUCUAAUUUGUGUUUCAUAAAAAUGAUUUCUUUUAGUUUUAUAUGUUUUUUCUUUCAAUGAUUUAUUGAGUUUAGUUUGUUUAUCCAUAUUCUUGACAUUUGUUAGGCAAUGGUCAAUGAUCUGUGAUGUCUUUUACUAUUUUUGAUUAGUGUGUUAUUUUUUUGUAAUUAUUGUUUUAUAAAUACUUGGGUGUUGAUUUAUUUUUAUGAGCAUGAAAUAGUAGUUAAAUGAUGAAAAGGAUAAAAAUGUUGGACCUGCAAAUAUAAAAAUGGUUUACCAGUAAUUAAUUUGGGUCGAAGGAGUGGGAAAUAGUAAGCUUAUGUUUGGACUAAGUUCAUUUAAGGAAGAAGGAAUUGGGCAAAGGUCAAAAUGCUAGCCCCAAAGACAGUAACCAACAUUUGACCCAAUGAUCAUUUAAUUUCAAACGGGGCCAGCAGCCGAAGUGGCUACAUGAAUUGCGCUCAAUGCCCAUAAUGGCCAAAACGGGCCAGCAGUUCCAAUAUAAAUGAGCCGGCCCAUCAUUAGUUUUCCAUAUUUUUCCCUGAUAAUAAAAUCCGAAAAUCAAAUUUUUGUUUAAUUAAUUUAAUAACUUAAUCAUCUUUAAUAACUAAUUUAGUUCGCUAUGCAAUUUUAGACGCAUCUUCGGACCAUGUGUUCUUAUAUGAUCCUUGGUUAAUAUCAAAUAAUAAAAAUCGUCAUGUGUGCAUUCCCGCUCCUUGACUUGCCAAUAAUAAAUUGUAUUUGACCAUGUGUGCUUACACACACCUAGGUCAACACAAUUAAUAAAAUUCAAUUAAUUAUUAAGAGACAAUAGACAAUAAUAAUUCAUGGUAGAUAAUACACAAUUUAUCCAAAAUUAAUUCUAGUCACGUUUAAGUCAAUAAAGCGACCGUGCUAAAAUCACAAUAUUCGGGUAGUGCCUCACACCUUCUCCCCGUCAACAGAAUUUCUCACCUGAUUUUUUAUUUUCGCGGACCAAUAAAACUAGAGUCAAACCUCCAUUUGACUAGGAAUUUAAAUAAAAAGUGACUUGGAAUACCAAUAAUUCAAUUUCAAGUGGCGACUCAAUAAAUAAAAAAAUUUGUCACUUUAAUUCUAACCCUUUAUCCAUGCAAUCCACAUACAAAUAUUUUGCGUGGAAUACGAUGAGUAUCAUUCGGUCCGGCAAGCCCCCGAAAGCAUUUGAGGCGUCUUUGAUUUUAUAUUUUCUUAUGAUUUUCAGAGAUACUAAGAAGUACAAGUUUUCUUACCCUGAUUCUUUCCCUAGACAUUUAAAUGUUGAAUCGGGGGUUGUCUUGUAAUUUUUUUACUAAAUCUUCUUACUUCUUAGUAUAAAGUCAAAUGUUACGUUUUUUAUAAAUGUUGGUUAUUACCUGGAGAAAAAAUAGUGGUAGUAGUUUAUAUAAAUAUUAUGUAGGAAAUUUUAUAAGUUAUUAAACAAUAAGAUCAUCUAGAGUUACUUUACUAUGAAUAUACUGGAAAUUAAUACUAGCAUAUAUUUUAAGCGGUUCAUGUAAUACUGAAUAAAAGAGAUGGUAUUACCAGACAAUUCAUGUGUAGGUUUAUACUACUAAUUAAGAUGAAUAUCACCGUAAAGAAAAUAGGCAAGUGAUCUUAGCAAAUGUGUCGUCAAUAACCAUAUGUUUAGUGUUAGUUGAAGAUCUAGAUAUUGUCAGUAAGUUGCUUCUGUGCACGCGAGGAUAUGAAGUAAGGAAGAUAACUGCAUCUAUAUUAUAUUUUCAACUCACUAGACUAGACUUCUCAGUCAUGACAAUCCUCACCUCCAUUCGUUAAAAAAUUUCAUACAAAUUCGUCUACACAUAUUCAAAGAAUUUGAGUCAUUAACAACACGACUAAGGAACUGAUCUGCCAUACUAAUAAUGCAUGCCUUCCACAUCCAGAUUUAUACUGUCAUGCCAUCCAGACUUCUAUUGCCUUCUAGCAAUCAGGAAAUUAAAUACAUGUUCACUAUUUCCCUCUGAGCCACAAAAAUUACACCCCGCUUGAAGAUUAAUGCUUCUUGCUAGUAAAUUUAAUUUAAUAAGCUAAGUAAAAUGUUUCGAGCUAACCUCCAAAUAAAAUUCUUUAACUUUUGGAGUUAAUAUAAAUUCAGGUAUCAAAGCUUCUUCCAAUCUACAAAUUAAAUGCCUCCUAUAAAUGUCCAAAGAUGAUAACCUAAUUUGUAUAGAUACGUCACAUGCAAUUCUGAUUAAUAUAAGGUUCAUAUAAAAUAUGUUACCUGCAACACAAAAUAAUCACCAAGUAUUUUCUUCACAACAAAAUGAUAAUUAUAUAGAGGAUUAGUGAGGUAACCUCAUUGAAGUCAAAGUUGAAAGUGAAUGAUCGAUAUCCAUUUAGAGAAUAAAUAUAAACGAUGUACCUGAAGUUCAUGUAUACAACAUAAUGAUAAUGUAUAUGAAAGAGUUAUAAGCCAAAAACCGAAAAGAUCUUGAUUGAAUAACUAAGCUUAGCUUGUAUGUUGUUUUCAAUAGCUGAUUUAUUUUUAAACGUUUAAGGAUCCCUUUUUAUUGUGUUUCAAAAAUUUGUUAGGUUUUUGAGACAAUUCAUUUAGCAAGACUUAGUCGAAAAAGAAAUUUUUAUUAACACUUUCAAUCAUAAUGAUCCCACGCCCAUAUACUGGUGUAUUUGGAGGUCUAUCAUCUAUGAAACAAUCAAAUCAUUUAUUCGACCUCUCAAUUUUUGAUGUGUACUACGUGCUCAUUUUGUGAGAUAUAAUAUUUCUAAUCUUGUCUAAUUUUAUAUAUUAUCGUACAUCAAUCUUAAUAUUCAUAUUUUAUAUAACAUUUUUAUUUUUAUAUAUUGGACCUUAGAAGUCCAAAUUCACUUCCACAAAAAAUUAUACUAGUAACUAGAAGUAGAACUUAUUCUGCUCGAUUAGUUAAUGACAAAGUAAAAUUGACUAAUUUUAUUAUGUGGCAUAGGGGAUAAACUAAUCAUUAGACUAAAUUUUUAGAGUGACACUUUCGAUUGAGAGACUUGUAAAUCGUAUAUUACAUAAAUACAAUUUUUACAUUUUAAUAUGACGCAUCCCUUUUAUAUUGACCUCAACAAGGCUAACAAAAACCAAAAAUCAAACCAAGAAUGACACAACAACAACCCCAGAAUACUUCAUAUCUUAUUCAAGAAUUUGCAUGCCCCAAAAUAACAAACUCCAAACCUCAAGAAAUCAAAAGGGUCCACAACAAAUAUAUCAAAGAUUAAAACUUUAGCUCCAAAAAGCCCAAGAAAAUUAAAAAGGGGUAAUAAUUAUAGCAAACAAAUUUGCUUACCCCAAAAUAAUCAAUGGGAAGCUCAGAUUUUGCACUUUCUCAGUAAAAAGUAACUAACCACUUAUUUCACCAUAGCUUAGGAAUGUCAAAAUAUCAGCGACAUAACUGUUAAAAAGCCUACUUGAUAUAUUAUCAUAUAAUUAUACAGAUUUUAGAAAGAACAAAGAAUAUCGUGUAAUUGGAUAUAUGCUGCAGUAUAUUUAUCUAGGACUGAUUGACAACGAUAUGAAAGUUGCAAGGUCUAAUGAUCAUAACUUGACUCUCCCCCUCCCUUUUAUGUUAUGUCGUUGACGCUUUCAACAUUGACAUGACGAUUUUGGCCCAGGGCGAGGAUAAGACUGCUAUAAAGUGCAACGGGAGGGAGGCAAUACUAAUUUUAACCUAAGCACAUAUGAAGGAGAAUUAAGUUCGAAUGCUGAUAAUGGAGGUAGUAUAAAUAAGGCUUUACCACAAAUUUUGUUUAUAAUUGUUUACCAUUUUUAGUUCUGUAAUUAUCAUGUUUAACGAAUACGUUGGUUUUCCUUGAAGUCUGAUCCAAGCUAACUAAUUUAAGACUCAAAUGCAUAAAAUGAGUUUGAGUUCAUCUAAUCCAAAAGCUUACAAGUAAAUGAAUAUCAAAUUAGCUACUUGAUACAAUCGGUAAAUAAUAUAGGGAAUAAUCGAUACAUCAAUUUAUAAGUUAUACUAAACAAUAUGCAUGCUUUACCUUUUGUCAUACUGGCACACAAAACAGAGACAUGUAUUUCGCAGAUGGUCAAUUAAGGUUGCAAAUGAGUUUGGUUUACCUUUAUAUCUGCGGAAUUCUAUGAAGUCUAUGUACUCUCUUAAUCAAUUAAAUAAGGACAAAUUAUUGUUACCUUUUUCAAAAAAAAAAUUAAAUAAGGACAAAUUAUAAAUAUAAAGUGUUGAGCAAUAUAGCUAUUUGAUACAAAAAUCUGCUUUCAAUGAUUUUUUCACAGAAAGUUCACGUGUGGUUUCAUUGUCGUUCAGAGGGAAUGUUUCACUAGGAAUGUUGAUGUUUAGAAUGUUCACUUAGUUCCACAAUUUCAUGGAGGCAUGUAUCAAUCGCAGUAAGGAAAGAAGUGACUAAAUGUUCAUGGACGUAUAUGCACUCUUUGAUGUGUGACUGCUCCUCCAAUGUCAAGUUUCAAAUCUAUUAUCUGCUUUUCUGCUAUGAGUCAUAUGUCUAGAACUUUUCUCCUUUCCCAUCAGAAAGUCUGUGCUCUUUUACGUGUAUAUGCAUUACUGUUUAAGCUCAGUUCAUUAGCAUAUUUAUCAAUAUGAUGAUAAUAUGACUGCUAGCUGAUCACAGAAACUAUGAUUAUUCCACAUGUCCUUUUUGAUUUGUGGAGCAAUAUGUUGAAUGUUGCUUACCUUUAGGUGUCCUUUGGGAAUCUCUUUGGUAUUUUAGCUUGCAUUAUUAUUAUUAGUAAGUCCAACAGUCCAACAAAGAGUUGCUCUUUUUCCUUUUUUUUUUCUUUCUUUUUUCUUGUGAUCUGUAGAAUCAAUACAAAACUAUUUAUAGCAGCCAUUAUACAUAAUUCUCCUAACUAACUUUUUUAAGCAAAGUUGCAGCGUUCUUUAUCAUUCUCUUUAUCUUCUUAGAAACAUAUAUAAGGAUGUUUUAAUUUGCAGAAUCACUUUACUACAAUCAAGCGUGGCAUUUUAUUGUAGCUACUUUGGAAACACUUGUGUAUAGUACAAUCCUUUAUCUGGAUAGGUACUAAAAAUAUUACCUUUUCAUUCUGAAACUAUGUUAUUUCUAGACUAGAUUACAAAUUGCGGUCUUAUAUUAUUUGUUCUUUAAUCACAUUUUUUGUUGUUCACAAAUUACUGAGUAUUUCUUGCAAAUUCAUUCAGAGUUAGUCAAUAUUCUUGAUGAAGAAUGGAUCGGAAGGACAAUUGUAAAUGUUGAUGAUUUGCUGGAAUUCAUCUUCUCCGGUAAAUCAUAUAUAUUCUUUGACGUUGGAUAGGCUCCAUAUGCUACUAGCAGCUUUUGUGGUACAAGAUUCUAAGCAGACUAUAGCCUUCAAUAGAGCAGACUACAAUGAAGUAAUUCUUAUACAAUUUAAUCCCCUAAUAAUUGAGGUACUUAAAAACUUUAUUGAUGGUAAUUCAAGUAAGUUCAUCGAUUUAUGUGAUCAACUAAUGUAGAAGCAUACUUUAAGUCCUUGUGGAUUAGUAGGAGUAUUUUUUGGUGUAUCUUUAUUUUCUUUUGGUUGUCGGGUAAUUUAUUAAAAGAAAGUGGCAAGCCUAAAUGAAUUAGCUGGUUUUUCGCCUAAUCAAAAAAUUAAACAUUUUUGAGGUUAAUUCUUCUUCUUGCUGCUAAGUUUUUAACUCAUAAUGAGGAACAAAUCCUUUACCGAUCAACAAGAAGACAAAAUAUUUCAU